AGUGAACGCUGGCGGUAGGCCUAACACAUGCAAGUCGAACGGCGGCACAGUAAGAGCUUGCUCUUACGGGUGGCGAGUGGCGGACGGGUGAGGAAUACAUCGGAAUCUACUUUUUCGUGGGGGAUAACGUAGGGAAACUUACGCUAAUACCGCAUACGACCUACGGGUGAAAGCAGGGGAUCUUCGGACCUUGCGCGAUUGAAUGAGCCGAUGUCGGAUUAGCUAGUUGGCGGGGUAAAGGCCCACCAAGGCGACGAUCCGUAGCUGGUCUGAGAGGAUGAGCGGCAACACUGGGAAUGAGACACGGUCCAGACUCAUACGGGAGGCAGCAGUGGGGAAUAUUGGACAAUGGGCGCAAGCCUGAUCCAGCCAUACCGCGUGGGUGAAGAAGGCCUUCGGGUUGUAAAGCCCUUUUGUUGGGAAAGAAAAGCAGCAGGUUAAUACCCCGCUGUUCUGACGGUACCCAAAGAAUAAGCACCGGCUAACUUCGUG
rnacentral:rRNA from 1 species